rnacentral:misc_RNA from 1 species
GAGUUCAUGCCCUUACGGGUAGAUCUCCCACCCUUGAAUAUCUUACCUUUGUUGCUUUGGCGGGCCGCUUCGGCCACCGGCUUUCCGCUGGUGAGUGCCCGCCAGAGGACCCUAAAUUCUGAAUUUUGUAUUGUCUGAGAAACUAUAUAAUAGUUAAAACUUUCAACAACGGAUCUCUUGGUUCU